ACUAAAAUAAUGUUGUAGGAAGCCUAAUAUUUUUUUUAAGUAUGUUCAUGAUAUUCUGAAUACACUGUUAAUGUUCCUUAGAGAAACAGUCUCACCAUACUUAUAAGUAAGUAUUAAAAAAAAGGUUAUACAUACUGUCUGUGCAUCAGGUUUAUUGUGUUCUGUUAGAUUAUACAUAAGAUUUGUGCAUCAGGUUUAUUGUGUUCUGUUAGAUUAUACAUACUGUGUGUGCAUCAGGUUUAUUGUGUUCUAUGUUAGAUUAUACAUACUGUGUGUGCAUCAGGUUUAUUGUGUUCUAUGUUAGAUUAUACAUACUGUUUGUGCAUCAGGUUUAUUGUGUUCUGUGUUAGAUUAUACAUACUGUGUGUGCAUCAGGUUUAUUGUGUUCUAUGUUAGAUUAUACAUACUGUUUG